rnacentral:lncRNA from 1 species
CUUGUUACACUAUGAACAUAACUCAUCGGUAAAUAAUGAUUUUUCUACCUUGUUUUAUUUUCCUGAGAGCAAUUUUUUGUUUCAAAUUAUGCUAUAAUUGAUGAUAAGAAUAUCAAUUAAAUUUAACAAGUGGCUCAAUGUUUUUUCAGAAUCUCCAAAAUAUAAUAAAAAUAUUUGGUAACUUUUCUAAAUUUCCCUCUAUAUGUUAAGCACAGAGGAGUUGCCAAUAAGAAUCUUAUUACACAAUACAACAAAACACAACCUGUCAAAACCACAAGUCACUCAAAACACAACUAAACAAUACCUAAAAACCAAAGCCAAUUUGAACUGAGGAACCGUUUUACCGAAGAACCAGACAUUUGACAGUAGCACUGCUGCACUGCAGGCAAGAAACAGACCAAAGUUUUCCUUUCAAUGGUUGAGAAUAUGAAAUAAUGCUUUGAAUUCUUGACUCAUUAGUUGCUGC